rnacentral:sRNA from 1 species
UAUCACAAUAUAUGGGCCAGUGUACAAA